GACGAACGCUGGCGGCGUGCCUAAUACAUGCAAGUCGAGCGGAAGUUGGAGAGCUUGCUCUUCAACUUUAGCGGCGGACGGGUGAGUAACACGUGGGCAACCUGCCCUGCAGAUCGGGAUAACUCCGGGAAACCGGUGCUAAUACCGAAUAGUUUUCGCCACCUCCUGGUGGCGUACGGAAAGACGGUUUCGGCUGUCACUGCAGGAUGGGCCCGCGGCGCAUUAGCUAGUUGGUGGGGUAACGGCCCACCAAGGCGGCGAUGCGUAGCCGACCUGAGAGGGUGAUCGGCCACACUGGGACUGAGACACGGCCCAGACUCCUACGGGAGGCAGCAGUAGGGAAUCUUCCGCAAUGGACGAAAGUCUGACGGAGCAACGCCGCGUGAGUGACGAAGGUUUUCUGAUCGUAAAACUCUGUUGUGAGGGAAGAACAAGUACCACUUAACUACUGGUACCUUGACGGUACCUCACCAGAAAGCCACGGCUAACUACGUGCCAGCCGCCGCAGUAACAC
rnacentral:rRNA from 1 species